rnacentral:rRNA from 3 species
UGGGGAAUAUUGCACAAUGGGCGGAAGCCUGAUGCAGCGACGCCGCGUGGGGGAUGACGGUCUUCGGAUUGUAAACCCCUUUCAGUAGGGACGAAGCGCAAGUGACGGUACCUGCAGAAGAAGCACCGGCCAACUACGUGCCAGCAGCCGCGGUAAUACGUAGGGUGCGAGCGUUGUCCGGAAUUACUGGGCGUAAAGAGCUCGUAGGCGGUUUGUCACGUCGUCUGUGAAAUCCUCCAGCUUAACUGGGGGCGUGCAGGCGAUACGGGCAGACUUGAGUACUACAGGGGAGACUGGAAUUCCUGGUGUAGCGGUGAAAUGCGCAGAUAUCAGGAGGAACACCGGUGGCGAAGGCGGGUCUCUGGGUAGUAACUGACGCUGAGGAGCGAAAGCAUGGGUAGCGAACAGG